AUCGCUUCUCGGCCUUAUGGCUAUGAUCAAAGUGUAGUAUCUGUUCUUAUCAGCUUAACAUCUGAUAGUUCCUCCAUUGGAGGACAACAAAUGUUAAAACUGAUUUUUGGAAUCAGACGGAGUGCUAGGAGCUUGCUCCACCUCUGUCGCGGGUUGGCCCGGUAUUGCAGUACCGCCGGGAUUUCGGCCCAACUGAA
rnacentral:snRNA from 13 species